UCCAUUAUCAGUGGCCAUCCAGCAGCUGCCGUUUGGCACCUUCAGCCCUUCCCUUCAUUUUGAAGACAAUGCUUCCCUUGCUGUGGUUGAGUCCAUGAAACCCGUGUGAACCUGGGGUCCUCAAGGCACCGGGGGACGUGCACAGCAGCGCCCAGAGGCACUGCCAGGAUCGCCUCCUGCUGACUGCACCCUCCCCUUCAGCCCCUCCAGCAUGUGGUCUGGGGCCCUAGGAAGCUCGAACCUGCUUAAGAAGUGCCAAUCACCUUUACAGUCAGGAGAACUGGUCUGAUGUCUGCCCAUCACAAGAUUUCUGAGACUGGGAACCUUCUUAACUGUGUGAAUCCUCAGUUUCGUCAUAUGUAAGGAAGCCAAGGAAAAUUGGAAUUGAAGAACUUGCUGAGGGACAACAGAACAAGAAAAGUAUGGGGCCUCUUGGAAGCAAAAUGACUCCAAUAGUGUGAAAACCCUCAGUUCAGUGCAAACAUGUGGUAGGAGAAGACUUGGAAAGGGAGAAGCAGUGCAGCAUGUCCUUAAAAGCUUUCCAUGAAUUAACCCACCUGGUCGUCACAGCAAGCUUUCCAGGCAAGUGGUACUAUUAUCUUGCUUCACAGAUGAAGAAACUGAGGCACAGAGAAAUGAGCUUGCCAAGGUCACACAAUGAGAGGAUGAGGAUUCAAACUGUCAUCUAGCUGCAGAGCCCGUGUGCAUAUUAUGUUGCCUCUCACCAAGUCCUGAUAUCCCUCCACCCCAGUUCAUUAGUUAAAUCACAGAAAAAAUGGGGAGGAAAUAGAAUGUUCAGGUAGCUCAGAAAAGGAUGGAAACCUGGGAUGCAGUGGGACGGGGUGAACCAGUCCUUCCUGCUUUACCUUCCUGAUGUGGGAGAGACUUAUGAACAAAUUACACGUUUUAGAUCAUUCAUUCAUUUAUCUAUUUAUUCAUUCAUUCAUAAAUAACUACUCUCAAGCUUCCUUCUUGCUAACUGGAAAGGGGGCGUAGGCAUUACAAAACAACUAUUAUUUUAAUGAGCACCUCAUAUAAUCCUCACAGAAUCAGGUGUUACUAUUACCAUUUUGUUGAAGAAGCUUGAGGCUCUGCAAAAUCCAUUCCCGAUUAUCAUAAAACUUGUAUGUGGUGCAGCCAAGAAGUGAGGCCAGAACUGGAGCCAGGAACUGACUCCAAUGUCCACAUACUUACCCCUUUCCCCAGGGAAAGGGGGAGGCAAUAAGAGGGGGAGGGAGCUUGGGGUCAGACUGAUCUUCAGGAUUGCCUGUGCUCUACACAUGCA